GGAUGGGUAUCAAUGGGAUGAGUAUCAAAGGGAUGGGUAUCAAUGGGAUGGGCAUCAGUGGGAUGGGUAUCAAUGGGAUGGGCAUCAACGGGAUGAGUAUUAAUGGGAUGGAUAUCAAUGGGAUGGGCAUAAAUAGGAUGGGUAUCAAUGAGAUGGGCAUCAAUGGGAUGGGCAUCAAUGGGAUGAGUAUCAAUGAGAUGGGUAUCAGUGGGAUGGGUGUCAGUGGGGCAGGUCCUGAUGGGUCAGUGCUGGUGUGUCAGGUCCUGGUUGGUCAAUGCCAAUGGGUCGGGUCCUGGUUGGUCAAUGCCAGUGGGUUGGGUCCUGGUUGGUCAAUGCCAAUGGGUCGGGUCCUGGUUGGUGAGUGCUGGUGGGUCGGGUCCUGGUUGGUCAAUGCCAGUGGGUUGGGUCCUGGUUGGUCAAUGCCAAUGGGUCGGGUCCUGGUUGGUUAGUGCUGGUGGGUUGGGUCCUGGUUGGUCAAUGCCAAUGGGUUGGGUCCUUGUUGGUCAGUGCCAAUGGGUCGGGUCCUGGUUGGUGAAUGCUGGUGGGCCGGGUCCUGUUGGGUGCGUACCACGUGGCGAUCCCGGCCCCAUUCCCAUUCUGUUUCCCCCUGGAUUCUGUGUGUUCCCUUUGGACCCUUCGGUUCCGUUCCCGUCGGCUUUGCAGUCGCACCGUGUCCAAGGGGCUGCUGCUGCUGCUGCUUGUUCAGAGUAAAAUCGGGUUGGGAUUUUUACAUGA